rnacentral:rRNA from 1 species
GACGAACGCUGGCGGCGUGCCUAAUACAUGCAAGUAGAACGCUGAAGGAGGAGCUUGCUUCUCCGGAUGAGUUGCGAACGGGUGAGUAACGCGUAGGUAACCUGCCUGGUAGCGGGGGAUAACUAUUGGAAACGAUAGCUAAUACCGCAUAACAGUAGAUAUCGCAUGAUAUCUGCUUGAAAGGUGCAAUUGCAUCACUACCAGAUGGACCUGCGUUGUAUUAGCUAGUUGGUGAGGUAACGGCUCACCAAGGCGACGAUACAUAGCCGACCUGAGAGGGGGAUCGGCCACCCUGGGACUGAGACACGGCCCAGACUCCUACGGGAGGCAGCAGUAGGGAAUCUUCGGCAAUGGACGGAAGUCUGACCGAGCAACGCCGCGUGAGUGAAGAAGGGUUUCGGAUCGUAAAGCUCGGUUGUAAGAGAAGAACGAGUGUGAGAGUGGAAAGUUCACACUGUGACGGUAUCUUACCAGAAAGGGACGGCUAACUACGUG